rnacentral:misc_RNA from 1 species
CGCACAUUGCGCCCUCUGGUAUUCCAGAGGGCAUGCCUGUUCGAGCGUCAUUUCAACCCUCAAGCCUAGCUUGGUGUUGGGGCAUUGCCUGACUGUUUUACAGGAGGGCAAGCCCUGAAAUUCAGUGGCGAGCUCGCCAGGACUCCGAGCGCAGUAGUAAAACCCUCGCUCUGGAUCGUACUGGCGCGGCCCUGCCGUAAAACCCCCAACUUCUGAAAAUUUGACCUCGGAUCAGGUAGGAAUACCCGCUGAACUUAA